rnacentral:rRNA from 1 species
AGGACGAACGCUGGCGGCACGCUUAACACAUGCAAGUCGAACGGAGAUAAUUGAGUUACUUAGAUUAUCUAGUGGCGGACGGGUGAGUAACACGUGAGCAACCUACCGUUUGAGAGAGGGAUAGCUUCUGGAAACGGAUGGUAAUACCUCAUAACGUAUCGGGACCGCAUGAUUCUGAAUACCAAAGAUUUAUCACUCAAAGGAUGGGCUCGCGUCUGAUUAGCUAGAUGGUGAGGUAACGGCUCACCCAUGGCGACGAUCAGUAGCCGGACUGAGAGGUUGAACGGCCACAUUGGGACUGAGACACGGCCCAGACUCCUACGGGAGGCAGCAGUGGGGAAUAUUGCACAAUGGGGGAAACCCUGAUGCAGCGAUGCCGCGUGGAGGAAGAAGGUUUUCGGAUUGUAAACUCCUGUCUUAAAGGACGAUAAUGACGGUACUUUAGGAGGAAGCUCCGGCUAACUACGUGCCAGCCGCCGC